rnacentral:rRNA from 1 species
UACGAAGGGGGCUAGCGUUGCUCGGAAUCACUGGGCGUAAAGCGCACGUAGGCGGACUCUUAAGUCGGGGGUGAAAUCCUGGAGCUCAACUCCAGAACUGCCUUCGAUACUGGGAGUCUUGAGUUCGGGAGAGGUGAGUGGAACUGCGAGUGUAGAGGUGAAAUUCGUAGAUAUUCGCAAGAACACCAGUGGCGAAGGCGGCUCACUGGCCCGAUACUGACGCUGAGGUGCGAAAGCGUGGGGAGCGAACCGG